rnacentral:rRNA from 1 species
UGAGGAAUUUUGCGCAAUGGGAGCAAUCCUGACGCAGCAACGCCGCGUGGGUGAUGAAGGCCUUCGGGUUGUAAACCGCUUUCGGAGGGGAGGAAAUUCCGGUGGGAUCACCCAUCGGUUUGACCUAGCCUCGGAAGAAGGACGGGCUAAGUUCGUGCCAGCGGCCGCGGUAAUACGAACCGUCCAAACGUUAUUCGGAAUUACUGGGCUUAAAGGGUGCGUAGGCGGCCCGGUAAGUUGGGUGUGAAAUCCCUCGGCUCAACCGAGGAAUUGCGCCCAAAACUGUCGGGCUUGAGGGAUAUAGAGGUGAGCGGAACUUAGGGUGGAGCGGUGAAAUGCGUUGAUAUCCCAAGGAACACCGGUGGCGAAAGCGGCUCACUGGGUCUCUUCUGACGCUGAGGCACGAAAGCUAGGGGAGCGAACG